AAAUCCAGCCUUUGGCUAAGAUGAGAGCGCAGUAUCGGUUAUAGUCAGCUUAAUAUCUGAUACGUCGUCCUAUUGGGGAGACACCGAUAAUUACGACUGAUUUGAAAGGGGGUGAGGUGCCGGGGCUUGCUCCGCCCUCAUACACAGGUUGACCCGUAUUGCGAGUACAGAGGGAACAAAACCACA